rnacentral:rRNA from 1 species
GGCAGUGACGGUUAACGGGGGAUUAGGGUUCGAUUCCGGAGAGGGAGCCUGAGAAACGGCUACCACAUCUAAGGAAGGCAGCAGGCGCGCAAAUUACCCAAUUCUAACAGCAUAAGAGAGGUAGUGACAAGAAAUAACAAUACAAGGCAGUUAAAAUGCUUUGUAAUUGGAAUGAUAGAAAUUUAAACACUUUUUAAAGUAUCAAUUGGAGGGCAAGUCUGGUGCCAGCAGCCGCGGUAAUUCCAGCUCCAAUAGCGUAUAUUAAAAUUGUUGCAGUUAAAAAGCUCGUAGUUGAAUUUCUGCUAAAAAUAACCGGUCUGCUUUUAACAAAAGUGGUAUCUUGGUGUGUUUUUAGCAAUAAUGUCCUUUGAAAUGUGUUUUACUUUGUUGUAAAAGACAAUAUUCAGGAUUUUUACUUUGAGAAAAUUAGAGUGUUUCUAGCAAGCUAAUGUUUUGAAUACUGCAGCAUGGAAUAAUAAAAUAGAAUUUUAGUUCUACAUUGUUGGUUUUAAGAGCUGAAUUAAUGAUUGAUAGG